UCCUAGUUAACCUAGGCAGUCUCACUAGAGUUCCCAGCAUAACCUGUUGGCAACUAAUGAUAAGGGUUGCGCUCGUUGCGGGACUUAACCCAACACCUCACGGCACGAGCUGACGACAGCCAUGCAGCACCUGUACUGCGGCCCGAAGGCUAUGAUGUUUCCACCAUAUUCCACAGUAUGUCAAGCCUGGGUAAGGUUCUUCGCGUUGCAUCGAAUUAAACCACAUGCUCCACUGCUUGUGCGGGUCCCCGUCAAUUCUUUUGAGUUUCACUCUUGCGAGCGUACUUCCCAGGCGGUAUACUUAUCGCGUUAGCUUCGAUACAACCGGGGUUGAGUCCAGUUACACCAAGUAUACAUCGUUUACGGCAAGGACUAC
rnacentral:misc_RNA from 1 species